CAAAGCCGGAGCUUAAACAUUAUUUAUCUUGUUGUGUAGUUAUUAAAGUGUCAAGAGACAACUUAUUUUUCCUUUCCGUCGGUGUUUUAUGAUUUCUAUAAAAUGAUUUAUAAGGCUACUAGAUUUGCAUAAUACAUUGCAACGCCAACGUUUAAAUUCUUUUUUUAUUUCGCCGAAUCAAUCUUUAUUUGUUUUCGGAGCAAGAAAACAGCACUCACACCUCCAUUAUAAAAGUUUACGGCGCCACUUGGGUUACUCCAUUGGCCAUCAUUUAUACGUUCCUUAGCAACACCUUUGAAAACAAACACGACUGUCAAUUAUUGCACAAAGUUUCCUCACACGGUGGGCUGUAGGUAAACAAAACGUUAAACUUUCAAAGUUAUUUAUUUUCCAAGGUAAAUAUUUAAGAAUUAAGCUUUUCCAUGAAGGACAACGAAGCCGCUAUUAUUAUACAGAAAUGUGUCAGGAGAUAUUUAUCGAAGAACAAGGCGGCUACGAAAACAAAAACAGAUAAGAACCAAAAUGUUACCCAUGACGAAAUAAAACAAGUCCUAGAGGAAAUUCAUUUAUUUCAGAAGAAAUUACAAUCAAAUAUGAAGAAAAAAGACGAAAUCAAGAAACUGUGUUUAAGCAUUGAUGAGAUUUCCACGGAACUAAAAUCGAUAACUAAAUUAGAACACUGUAAGCAAUUAGAGACGUCGUUUUCCAAUGAAACGUACGAAAAAAUUCAGCAAAAACACCGGGAACAAAUCGGGCAAAUAAAUUCAAAAUGGUGGGAAAAAUUAGAUAUUUUCGAGGAUCAAUAAUUUUUAUGACCGAUUGAGUUACCAAAUUUUUUUUAACAAGUGUGUGAUAAUUAUGUAUACAAUGUUACCCAGUUGAGUUUCAGAUGUUUUGAAAUUAUAAACUUUAUUUAAUAAAUGUUUAACAAUGUU